UAGGUGGGCAGCAGCAUGGCAGCAGCAGUUAGGUAGCAGGACAGUAGCAGUUAGGUAGCAGGAGAGUAGCAUGGCUGCAGCAGUUAGGUAGCGGGGCAGCAGCAGUUAGGUAGCGGGGCAGUAUCAGUUAGGUAGCAGGACAGUAGCAUGGCUGCAGCAGUUAGGUAGCGGGGCAGCAGCAGUUAGGUAGCGGGGCAGUAUCAGUUAGGUAGCAGGACAGUAGAAUGGCUGCAGCAGUUAGGUAGCGGGGCAGUAGCAGUUAGGUAGCGGGGCAGUAGCAGUUAGGUAGCGGGGCAGCUGCAGUUAGGUAGCGGGGCAGUAGCAGUUAGGUAGCGGGGCAGCAGCAGUUAGGUAGCGGGGCAGCAGCAGUUAGGUAGCGGGGCAGCAGCAGUUAGGUAGCAGGGCAGUAGCGGGGCAGCAGCAGUUAGGUAGCGGGGCAGUAGCAGUUAGGUAGCAGCGCAGCAGCAGUUAGGUAGCGGGGCAGUAGCAGUUAGGUAGGGGGCAGCAGCAGUUAGGUAGGGGCAGUAGCAGUUUGGUAACGGGGUCUUUCACUUAUCCAUAAAUUGUCUGUAUUUACACUAACCAUUAGAAAAUAACAAGAAAAGCCUUUCUUGGUCCAGCCUCCCAUCAACUCUUUGAUAUACGGGGCAGCAGGGUAGCCUAGUGAUUAGAGCGUUACACUAGCAAUUUGGUAGCGGGGCAGCAAUUUGGUAGCAGGGCAGCAUGACAUCUACUUAAUGGUUGCAAAAUCCCCGAGCUGACAAGGUACAAAUCUGUCGUUCAGCCCUUGAACAAGGCAGUUAACCCACUGUUCCUAGGCCGUCAUUGAAAAUAAGAAUUU
ensembl:lncRNA